rnacentral:rRNA from 1 species
CACGUAGGGUGCGAGCGUUGUCCGGAAUUAUUGGGCGUAAAGAGCUCGUAGGCGGUGUGUCGCGUCGGCCGUGAAAACUUGGGGCUUAACUCUGAGCGUGCGGUCGAUACGGGCAUCACUUGAGUUCGGCAGGGGAGACUGGAAUUCCUGGUGUAGCGGUGAAAUGCGCAGAUAUCAGGAGGAACACCGGUGGCGAAGGCGGGUCUCUGGGCCGAUAACUGAC